UCGCCUUCCAUAGCCCCUCACUUUCAAAAACACCUUUUUCGUUUCUCUCUCGCCUUUCGUCGAAGCGACACUCCCUCCACUGUGAAAC
rnacentral:ribozyme from 1 species